rnacentral:tRNA from 1 species
UCCCUGGUAGCUCAGCUAGUAAAGAAUCUGCCUGCAAUGCAGAAGACCCCAGUUCAAUUUCUGGGUUGGGAA